UACGUAGGGGGCAAGCGUUGUCCGGAUUCAUUGGGCGUAAAGAGCGUGUAGGCGGCCAGGUAGGUCGGUUGUGAAAACUGGAGGCUCAACCUUCAGAGGUCGACCGAAACCAUCUGGCUAGAGUCCGGGAGAGGAGAGUGGAAUUCCUGGUGUAGCGGUGAAAUGCGCAGAUAUCAGGAAGAACACCCGUGGCGAAAGCGGCUCUCUGGAACGGUACUGACGCUGAGACGCGAAAGCGUUGGGGGAGCGAAACAGG
rnacentral:rRNA from 1 species